rnacentral:rRNA from 1 species
UACGUAGGGACCGAGCGUUGUCCGGAUUCAUUGGGCGUAAAGAGCUCGUAGGCGGCUGUUCAAGUCGAACGUGAAAACUCGGAGCUCAACUCCGAGCCUGCGUUCGAUACUGGACGGCUAGAGUCUGGUAGGGGGAUCUGGAAUUCCUGGUGUAGCGGUGGAAAUGCGCAGAUAUCAGGAGGAACACCGGUGGCGAAGGCGGGUCCUGGCC